UGAAACACUGGUUCUCAUAUGAUCACUGAAGUUAAGCAAUGUUGAGCUUGGUCAGUAUCUAGAUGAGUGACUGCUUGAGAAUACCAA